GCGGAUGAAGCUUAUUAGGUAAAGCGUCUGGCUUCCAACCAGAAGUUUUGCGGGUUCGAAUCCCGUCAUCCGCU
rnacentral:tRNA from 1 species